rnacentral:lncRNA from 1 species
CACAUACGGAAGUUCUCAGGCUAGAGGUCAAAUUGGAGCUGCAGCUACUGGCCUACACCACGGCCACAACACCAUGGNGGGCUGUGUCUGCAAUCUAUACCACAGCUCAGGACAAUGCCACAUCCUUAACCUACUGAGUCAGCCCACCCAUAUCCUCCUGGAUACUAGUUGAGUUCAUUAGCAACUGAGCCACAACAGGAACUCCUCUAAUAAAAUCUUUAAAAAGAAAAGAAAAGCAAUGGUGCAGUCAGUUACAUUUAGUUUGUUAGUUGCAUCAGACAUGCAUUCAUUGCCUUUCAAGGUGUUUUUGGCUUAUAAGAAAUAGUUCUGUAGUAAUGUAAACAUGCCCUUCAUUAUCAAUUUCCUGAUGAGAAUUCAAACUAGAUACACAACUUCCAUGGUCAUCAACAGGCUUUUUCACUCAAAGUUAAGUUUCCAACUUUCUGGAGGUUGAUGUGAUUGGGGUAUAGUAACCUGUGAAUAUAUUUGAGUCUUGAAUUUUUCCCCCCUGGUACUGAAUCCACAUCAAUGAUCAAUUAUAAAUUUAUAGACAAUAAAUUAAGUCCAGAACCAUUGUUGUAGCUAAACAGGUGCUGCAUUUCUUUUUGUUCAUGUGUAUUUUUAUUAGCAUCAUGUAUCAGUGGGAAUCCACUGAAACGUUGUUCCUUAGAGAAAAAUCACUUGCUUUUCCUUGAUGAAGCAUGGCAGCAAUUCCAUGCCAAUAUGCCCUUUAGUCCUUAGGAGGACCUAAAUAAGCCCAGGGGUGAGGGAAGGGUGAGAAAGAGAAGAGAGCCAUAUGCCUUGCCCCAUGUCCCCGCAAACAGGUGUACCAGGUGAGAGACCUCCUGGUUCUGUUCUGCUCUAGGUCAGGCAGGGUUGACUCCUGGAAGAGUUAGAAUAAUAUAAUGUACUCUUUGACCAGUCUUUUCUUUUUUUUUAAAAUAUUAUUCAUUUAUAACAGAGAAUUGGCUGCUUACUCAUUCCAUUCCUGGGAAUCAUGAUGACAGUGAAUAACCUACAUUUAUUGUAUUUGAAAGCCAAGUUUUGGGUAGGAGAGUACUGUUCAUCAGUCAAAAUUUGUCCUGCCACUCUACGUGUGAAUUUCCUGUCUGGAAUGACUUUAAUGGGGAAGAAAAAAAAGCAAUAAACCAAAAGAUGACGAAAAUACUGCUCCUGUUCUCAAUGAAGGCCUUUAUCACAUUAUCAAAGUAAGAAUUUCUCUCAUGCUUUUUAAAAAAAGAGAGUGGGUUUUGGUCAUAACCUACUUCAGGCAUCCAGUGGGCUCUGACUUAAUUUUUGGUUAUUUCUCCCUCCGAAGUGGGAGCAAACAUAAGUGGUAAAAAUACUAUUAAAUGUACUGUUAUCCUCUAUGCAAUCACACAGCAACAAAUGAAAACACAGAAGUAAAC